GAUGAAGAACGCAGUGAAAUGCGAUAAGUAAUGCGAAUUGCAGAAUUCCAGUGAGUCAUCGAAUCUUUGAACGCACAUUGCGCCCUCCGGCAUUCCGGGGGGCAUGCCUGUCCGAGCGUCACGAAAACCCCAUCACACUCGUUGUGGUCAUGGCUGCAGUGAGUCGUCUCCAGCGGAGAGGGUCACGCCGCUGAAAGGAAUGGUGCGGAUGAGUUCCGAUGGCCGAACGUAGUACUUGACAACCGUCGGCCGAUGGGACCCUCCAUCUCGCCCUGACAACGUACCCCCGUCGUACCCCCGAUCAGGUGGACCUCGGAUCAGGUAGGGAUACCCGCUGAACUUAAGCAUAUCAAUAAGCGGAGGA
rnacentral:misc_RNA from 1 species